UACGUAGGGUGCGAGCGUUAAUCGGAAUUACUGGGCGUAAAGCGUGCGCAGGCGGUUUUGUAAGUCUGACGUGAAAUCCCCGGGCUUAACCUGGGAAUUGCGUUGGAGACUGCAAGGCUGGAGUCUGGCAGAGGGGGGUAGAAUUCCACGUGUAGCAGUGAAAUGCGUAGAUAUGUGGAGGAAUACCGAUGGCGAAGGCAGCCCCCUGGGAUAACACUGACGCUCAUGCACGAAAGCGUGGGGAGCAAACAGG
rnacentral:rRNA from 1 species